rnacentral:rRNA from 1 species
AUUGAACGCUGGCGGCAGGCCUAACACAUGCAAGUCGAGCGGAUGACGGGAGCUUGCUCCUUGAUUCAGCGGCGGACGGGUGAGUAAUGCCUAGGAAUCUGCCUGGUAGUGGGGGACAACGUUUCGAAAGGAACGCUAAUACCGCAUACGUCCUACGGGAGAAAGCAGGGGACCUUCGGGCCUUGCGCUAUCAGAUGAGCCUCGGUCGGAUUAGCUUGUUGGGGAGGUAAUGGCUCACCAAGGCGACGGUCCGUAACUGGUCUGAGAGGAUGAUCAGUCACACUGGAACUGAGACACGGUCCAGACUCCUACGGGAGGCAGCAGUGGGGAAUAUUGGACAAUGGGCGAAAGCCUGAUCCAGCCAUGCCGCGUGUGUGAAGAAGGUCUUCGGAUUGUAAAGCACUUUAAGUUGGGAGGAAGGGUUGUAGAUUAAUACUCUGCAAUUUUGACGUUACCGACAGAAUAAGCACCGGCUAACUCUGUGCCAGCCGCCGCGGUAAGAC